GCGCAUGCGCCGAAGGAGGGGGGGGGAAGGACCCGUCUUAGUUACCUCUGUUCCUUCUCCAGAGUUGGCUCUCUUUGGUCAGGCAGCAGCCUUGCGCUGGCUUUCCUGGGGCUAAGAGGUGCCUCAGGGCGUGAUUUCAUGGAGGUCUUGCGAUAUCUCGCCCAAACCCAGAAGCUUCUGCAGCGGGGGGGGAGCAUGGAGGGGCUCCUUGAAUUCUGCCACCUGAGGAGGCUACCUCAGUUUGCCUCAUGGAUGGGCCGGCCCGCCGAUCCUGUGCUUGCAGUGGCUAGCAAAUGCCUAUGGAAAGGCCACAUCGCUCUCUCACUAGCGAUACUCUAGUGAGUAUCUAUGGAGACAGGACAGCCAUCAUGAUUAGUAACCCUUGAUAGCUUGAUCCUCUGUGAUUUUGUCUGAACCCUCAUAACAGGUCUUUAGAAAUGAGGCUGAGUAAGGCGGGGGUGGAAAUCCAGGCUGUUGCAUCUAAAGAUGACCUGGAUGUAUAUCUCCAACAUAACAGAUUCAUGCACUGAACAGAUUCAUGCACUGAUUGAGAAUAAAUUCCUCGGCAUUGUCUUUGCUACCAAUGAGUUCCAUCAGUGUGUUUUUGGCAAUGCUGUAUCAAAGUCCAAGGAAAUCAGCCCUGAGUGCUCACUGGAAGGACAGAUCCUGAAGCUGAGGCUCCAAUACUUUGGCCACCUAGGUCAUGAGAAGAGAAGACUCCCUGGAAAAGACCCUGAUGCUGGGAAAGAUGGAGGGCACAAGGAGAAGGGGACGACAGAGGACGAGAUGGUGGGACAGUGUUCUUGAAGCUACCAGCAUGAGUUUGACCAAACUGCGGGAGGCAGUGGAAGACAGAAGUGCCUGGCGUGCUCUGGUCCAGGGGGUCAUGAAGAGUCGGACACAACUAAACAACAGCAACAACAACAUAUCAAAGUCCACUGUGAUCAUAAGCUGUCAGAGACAAUCUUCACCAACCCUUUGGGAAGGUCUGCCGGUCUUCAGUGGAUGCAUCUGUAGUUGACUAAGUAUGAUUUCCACAUUGUGUAAGCUAAGGGCACAGACAUGGUUGUUCCCUACACUCAUGUAGAACUUAAGAUAAGGGUCAGUGGAAAGGCCAUUCCAUAGGCGAGGUGCCACCAUGAAGAAGGCCCUUGUGUGAAGCCACAUUGAGUGAUUACUGGCUUUGGGCCCGCUGCUAGAACAUGUCUGAAGACAGCAUCCACACGGCUGGGACUCCAUGGUAUGUGUGUCCUGAUCUCAUGGAAGCCUAUGUAUAAGCAGUUGCACAUGCAUAGGCCUUGCAGAAAGUCAGUGGACAAUCCAGGAAUGUUGGCAGCAGCAUGACAUACUCCCAGUAAUCGUGUGGUUCAUGUGCAAAGCAGGUUUAGCUGUGCACAUGAUUUCAGCCCCAAACAGCAAGGCAAGUUACAAAGGCAACUCCUAGAAGAUACAUAUAUGAACUAUAGUUAUACCGUUCUGAGAACACGGGUCACAUUUUACAGAGGGGGAACAUUGCCAGGUAAUUGACUAGCCCAGAUUUGAUCUGGAAAUCUAUGACAGAAUAUUAUUAAGAAUAUAUUGCAUACAUAACAUGUGUGCAGGAGGGGUGCUGGGGUUUGAUCACUAUCUACAGCCUCCCUAUACAUUUAAAAUAAUUGAUCAAUAAAUUAACGGUGUUGUUGGAAACCUGUUUCCUUGCUCAGACUGCUCCUGCCGUCCACCCUCCCCACUACAGACUUCAGUUGCAAUUCUGUCUUGGUUUCCUCUAAUCUGAGGGUUUAGAGAAGCAGGGAGAACUAGUCAAUGAUAAAUAUGUAGGGCAGGAUUCACCAAAUUAGGCAAAUGCAGGGAGAGGAGGCAUUGUUUGGUCUGGCAAGUUGAAAUGCUUGUGCAGACUGAAGGUUCUUAAUAGCAUUAUGUUGUAUUCCACCCAUUUAUUUGCAUUGAACACUGAGGAAUUUACUCAUAGGUGGUGGAACCAGCAGCUCUCUUUAAAAUAACUUGUUUAAUGCAAAUUUAUUUCCUUGACUCGGGGAGGAUUUAUGGUUAUGUGAUCAGAAAUUAGAGUUUUAGAUAUCAGAGUUGAUGUAUAAAUAUCAGGUAUCAGUGCAAACAAAUGCAGAGAUUUAUGGACAACUUUAGCAGAGAGGCCUCUGUGGGGGCCUAUUUCCUGUAUCUUCAGAUUUUGCUACCAUAGGCGGGGGAGGAGGACAAAGUAGCUGCUUUGUUGAAAUCCAGAUGCAGAUUGAACAGAACUCUGAAAAUCACUUUUGCCCUAGUUAAAUUAAAACAAUAGAAAUGUACAAACCCACUGGUUUUUAAUAUAUAUAUUUUUAUUAAAGAUUUUGUGGUUUACAAAAAUACACGUAUUGUUUCUUUUUUCAAGUUGUGUUUUCUACAGAUCAGUUUCAUUUGUUGUGAGACAUUGAAAUACUUUAUUGUCACUUGUACAACUUGUAUACAGUGAGAUUACACGAGCACCCCCCCAGCUCUCUUAGUCUUAAUUCCCCUCGUUUAUUGACACACACACACCAAACCCGAAAGUCAGUUGCCCUGUUGUUAUCUUUUCAUUCAGCAGCCUAACAGCCCACGGAUAGAAGCUGUUCUUUACCCUGCGACUAAUCAUGCUUCUAUAUCUUCUACCUGAGGGCAGGAGAUCAAGAAAGUGCCGGCCAGGGUGUGAAUCAUCCCUGAGAAUUUUCCUCACUCUCCUGAGGCAACGUUCUUCCGCUAUUUCAUCCAGCGGAUUCACGGGACAGCCCAUAAUAUCUUGUGCUGUUUUCACUACCCUCUGUAGGCACUUCCUAUCAAUUGAUGUCAAAUCAGCGUACCACACCGUGAUGCAGUAUGAAAGGACACUUUCUAUUGUGGACCGGUAGAAGGAGAUCAUCAAAUGUUGAUUGACAUCGUUCUUUCACAAUACUCUGAGGAGAUAUGGUCUCUGUUGGGCUUUCUUAACCACCUGGGUUGUAUUGAUUUUCCAAGUAAGGUCUUCACUGAGAUAAACUCCUAGGAAUUUAAAGGAAGAGACUCUCUCCACAUAGCCCUCCCCGAUGUACAGUGGGGCUAGUUCUCUCUUCCUCCAAAAGUCCAACACCAUCUCCUUUGUCUUGCUGAUAUUAAGGUGCAAGUUGUUUCCUAGGCACCAUGUAGAUAUUUUUUUAUUGCAUUCAGUAUUAGGUUAGGAAGAAAAGAGAGGGGAAGAGGGGGAGGGGUGGGUUGGGUGGGUUGGGUGGUUAUGCUUCUAUAGUGGAACCUCAGCUUUUGAAUGUAAUCCGUUCCAGAAGUCCAUUCGACUUCUGAAACGUUAGAAAACCAAGGAUCAGAGGGUUCCAGACAGACAGGCUGCAAAGUCAAUGGGGGGAAAUGAAAAAUGCGCCUCAGAAGCCAUUCGACUUCCGAGGCACGUUUCGAAAACAGAAGCAUUCACUUCCAGGUUUUCAACGUUCAGCUUCCGCAACAUUUGGCAGCCAAGACAUUCAAAAACCAAGGUUUGACUGUACUUAGGGUAUGUGUCAGGUUUUGUAUUAGUGUCACCUGUCUGGGUUCUCUUACUAUUUGCUUGUUGUAUUUCCUUGGUGGUGAGAGAGGUUGGGGGUGGCCUAGAGUGUGGUUGGUUGUCUUUGGUUGGCUGUAGUGAGAUUAGUUUUUUUGUGAGAGUGGGGUGUGUGGCUACGUAUUUUUGGAUCAGGCUAGCCAGAUUGAUUUGUAUGCUGUUGGCAGAUUCUUCUUAUUGUCUUCUUGGGCAAAAUAUGUGUUAAAGGGGAACCAUACCUAUCGUUUGUGGUAGGGAGUGGUCAGUGAGACGGUGUUAAGCGCCUUCGUGACGCCUGUGUUGGGUAUAAAGUUUAUAAGCAAUGUUGUCAGUGUUGUUAACAUCAUUAUUGGUUUGUUGGGGUGGGGAUAUGGGUAUUGGCAUGCUCUGGCACCACCAUUGUGCUGGGUCACUUUUUGGCUAAAGAGUAGGGUGCAAAUGCUCUAACAUAUUAUCAGAAGUGUGUUAUAAUAAUAAUAAUAAUAAUAAUAAUAAUAAUAAUAAUAUAUUAUUUAUACCCCACCCAUCUGGCAGGGUUUCCCCAGCCACUCUGGACAGCUCCCAACAAAAUAUUAAAAUACAAUAGUCUGUCAAACAUUAAAAGCUCCCCUAAACAGGGCUGCUGUCAGAUGUCUUCUAAAAGUCUGGUAGUUGUUUUUCUCUUUGACAUCUGGUGGGAGGGCGUUCCACAGGGCAGGUGCCACUACGGAGAAGGCUCUCUGUCUGGUUCCCUGUAACUUGGCUUCUUGCAGCGAGGGAACCGCCAGAUGGCCCUCGGCACUGGACCUCAGUGUCCGGGCAGAACGACGGGGGUGGAGACGCUCCUUCAGGAAAACUGGACCGAGCCACCUGUGUUAGUACUGUACUGCAAUACUCCUGUCUGAAACUUUGGCCAAAACUUUUGUACGUGUUCCGACUGGCUACCUCCUACUUAGACUACAGUAGCCUCUUCCUCCUCAAUUCCCCCCUUCUGUGUACAGUGGUACCUCUGGUGACGUACUUAAUUCGUUCCGGAGAUCCAUUCUUAACCUGAAACUGUUCUUAACCUGAAGCACCACUUUAGCUAAUGGGGCCUCCUGCUGCUGCCACACCACUGGAGCACGAUUUCUGUUUUCAUCCUGAAGCAAAGUUCUUAACCUGAAGCACUAUUUCUGGGUUAGUGAAGUCUGUAACCUGAAGCGUAUGUAACCUGAGGUACCAACUGUAUUUCCUUUAUUGGGAGCACUUCUGUUAAUUUGGUCUCUUCUCAACACUAAUCAUGCCACCAACCACAGAAGUUAGAGGGAU
rnacentral:lncRNA from 1 species